CCUCCUGUGAAAAGAGAGAGAUGAACUGAUCAAUUCACUUCUAUAAUUCAUCAGAUACCUGAUACUGGACUGGACUCUGAGAACAACAGCAAUAAUGGAGAUGGCCAAGUUCACUGGGGGCUUGUUCUAUGCCAGACGGUGUUCUAAGCACUUUAUAGACACCAAUGCAUUUAAUCUCGUGGCAACCUUAUGAGGUGCCUACAAUGAUCAUUCUCUCCGCUGCGUAAAUGAGAAAAUGAAGGUUGAGCUUCCCGGUGCCGCAGCUGUUGGAUAGUGACCCUCCGUAGUAAACUCACAGCCUCCAGCCCUGGGGCCUGUGUACGCUCUUAAAUAAAGGAUGACUGUGUCUAGCCAGUGUCCUUUAAGUUACGUUUGAGCUAAGUCUUUUUUUUUUUAAGAUUUUAUUUAUUAAUUUGAGAGACAGAGCAUCACGCCCGCAGAGCACAGGGAGGGGCAGCGGGAGGGAGAAGCAGAGUCCCCGUUGGGCAGGGAGCCCUACUCGGGCUCAAACCCAAAACCCUGGGAUCACGACAUGAGCCAAAGGCAGACGCUUCACCGACUGAGCCACCCAGGCGCCCCUGAGCCAAGUCUUGAAGGGCGAGUAGGAAUUCAUCAGGUUAGGGCUUUUCACGUAGGAGAUACAGUGACAAAGCCCAGGGAGCGGGCAUUGUCUAAGGUGGGGUGCUUGGGGUGAGCCACGGCUGGAACUGCCUGUGGGGGGCGAGGAAGGUCCUUAUAUGACCACAGUUUAGAGUUCGAGCUUGUUAUUCCCACAUGGAGCAGUUGAAACUGUUCCCAGAAGCCACCUUUCUCCCAGCUGCUCGUCCCUCUGGGCUGCUAACGGCUGAAGUCAUCCCCCAUGAGCUUUUAAAUAAGUUAGAUGAAACAUAUCUGAUGGAAAUGUACCCAAAUAAAUGCUUAGUCUGUUUCUGGGGGUGUUGUAAAAUGCACUUUUCCUCCUCCUCUUGUCAAGCAAACAAAGACAAACCUGAUUUUAUCCCCUGCAGGUGUCCGAAUCCCAUGCAGGAAAAGGUACCAGGGUUUGCCUAUUAGGGAAUCCCCUUUCCUACCUGUGGACUGAUAGGUUACUUGGGCAGGGAGAUACGGGGUUCUCAGGCAAGUGUUCGCUGGCCUGGCGAAUUUCUAAGGACUCAGCUAACACCCAGGUGAUCAUUUCACUUCACAAAGACAAAGAUUUGUGCUGCCUGUUUUGUAUGUAUUUAUAAAAGUGCCAUUGCAGUCACAUUCGGGCAGGUUUGUGUUUUUUGUUUUGUUUUGUUUUUUUAUUUGACACAGAGAGACAGCCAGCGAGAGAGGGAACACGAGCAGGGGGAGUGGGAGAGGAAGAAGCAGGCUCCCAGCGGAGGAGCCCGAUGUGGGGCUCGAUCCCAGGACUCUGGGACAACACCCUGAGCCGAAGGCAGACGCUUAACGACUGAGCCAGGGGCGCCCACCCCCACUACCCCCCCCCCCCNGGCAGGUUUUAAUCAAGAUUUGCCUGAAGCCGAGCCCAGUGGUAGUGGUGGGGCGGGCAAGGGGAAGGCGGUCCUCUCUCUUGAGCUGGCAAGGGGCAGUCUCCCCCACAAACCACCGACCUCCUCUGCGGACUCGAGAUGUGAGCCCCGGUGUUCCCAUAGCGCGUUUAGCAGACUUACUGUCACUUCGAAUGUAAGAGUCUUAACAAUGACUCAUGCCACAGCAUGUCUUAAACGCCGUGGAAAAGGCCCCGAAUUUAAGGCCUGCGCUAGAAGGAACCGCAGCUCUCCCUCCAGGUGCUCACGCUCGCACGCGACCUCACAAGCUCACACCCGAGUGAAGACACUGACUGUGGUAGCAGAGAAGGAGUGACAGCUACUCCAGACGGUCGGCAGAGAUGUAAGCUCCACGAUGGCGGCGAGUCGCCCCUUUCCGAAGGGACAGUCACUGAAGGUGGAGGAACAGAGCCGGACGAUGGGCCUUCAGGGCUGGGAGAGAAAAGGAAAACUUCCCCUCCUUAUACCACCCCAAUACUCUGUCCUCAUUCUCUCUGUGCUGGCCGUUGUCACUGGCUGAUGAAAAGCCAUUGUGGGGCCUCUAGAAGGGACAGAAGGGCAAGAGGAAGUGGGGCGGGGGUGGAAGAGAGGGCACACGGAAAGGGAACCAGAUCUUAGGAUUCCGGAGAGCUUGCUUUCCCUGCAUUCACUGGCUCUUUCUCUGCCGGCCCCGCCUGUGUUUCCCUCUUUCCCUGGCAGCUCAGUGCUGCGAUGACUGAGUCCUGGUCAAAACACUGUGGACAGGAUCAUGUGUGCCCCUUCCAGGCCGGCCCACGAAACCCUCGUUUCUCCCUGCUGGCCGGAUGCCGAGGCUCCCGCAAGAGCUCUGAGACCCGAGGAUAUCCGAGGCACAAGCUGGAAGGAACCAUCCCUGAAAGACAUGGAGCCACGUGCUACUGCCUCGUUGUGACCGGACAUUAAAUGACAUUGUGUAACAGAC